rnacentral:rRNA from 1 species
UACGGGGGGGGCAAGCGUUGUUCGGAAUUACUGGGCGUAAAGGGCUCGUAGGUGGCCAACUAAGUCAGACGUGAAAUCCCUCGGCUUAACCGGGGAACUGCGGCUGAUACUGGAUGGCUUGAGUUUGGGAGAGGGACGCGGAAUUCCAGGUGUAGCGGUGAAAUGCGUAGAUAUCUGGAGGAACACCGGUGGCGAAGGCGGCGUCCUGGACCAACACUGACACUGAUGAGCGAAAGCCAGGGGAGCAAACGGG